GACCGUUUCCCUUUCCUAUUUCCAUCGCAUGUUCUCUGAGCUCCGGCUCCAUUAACGGAGCCUAGCUCAUUCCCCAUACUCCAAUUCUUCCUUCAGAUCCUCUCUUUUCCCUCUAUUUCAAUUCUUGCGAUUUGUGGAUCUCGAGCUUAACCCAAACCAAACGACACAGAAAAUGUCAAAACCCUGGGGCGGAAUCGGAGCCUGGGCUGCUGAUGCCGAGCGUGCCGAGGCUGAGG
rnacentral:misc_RNA from 1 species